rnacentral:tRNA from 1 species
GGAUUGUGGCUCAGUGGUAGAGUGCUUGCCUGACAUGUGUGAGGCGUUGGGUUCGACUCUCAGCACCA